rnacentral:tRNA from 2 species
AAGGAAAUAAAUGAAAAAUUAAGAAGCUGCUAACUAUCUUAAUAAGCGGUUAAAUUCCGUUAAUUCCUUA